rnacentral:misc_RNA from 1 species
GAUGAAGAACGUAGCGAAAUGCGAUAAGUAGUGUGAAUUGCAGACUUUAGUGAAUCAUCGAAUCUUUGAACGCACAUUGCGCCCCUUGGUAUUCCAUUGGGCAUGCCUGUUCGAGCGUCAUUUACACCCUCAAGCUCACGCUUGGUGUUGGGCGUCUGUCCGCGCUUUCGAGCGUGGACUCGCCCCAAAUCCAUUGGCAGCGGCUUCGCCGGCUUCUCGCGCAGCACUUUGCGUUCAAGAAGGUCUUCGGCGGUCUCGCGUCCAUCAAGUCACCCCUCAUUUUGACCUCGAAUCAGGUAGGGAUACCCGCUGAACUUAAGCAUAUCAAUAAGCGGAGGA